GUGGGGAAUUUUGGACAAUGGGCGAAAGCCUGAUCCAGCCAUUCCGCGUGCAGGAUGAAGGCCCUCGGGUUGUAAACUGCUUUUGUACAGAACGAAAAAGCUCCGGCUAAUACCUGGAGUCCAUGACGGUACUGUAAGAAUAAGCACCGGCUAACUACGUGCCAGCAGCCGCGGUAAUACGUAGGGUGCAAGCGUUAAUCGGAAUUACUGGGCGUAAAGCGUGCGCAGGCGGUUUUGUAAGACAGAGGUGAAAUCCCCGGGCUCAACCUGGGAACUGCCUUUGUGACUGCAAGGCUGGAGUGCGGCAGAGGGGGAUGGAAUUCCGCGUGUAGCAGUGAAAUGCGUAGAUAUGCGGAGGAACACCGAUGGCGAAGGCAAUCCCCUGGGCCUGCACUGACGCUCAUGCACGAAAGCGUGGGGAGCAAACAGGAUUAGAAACCCUAGUAGUCC
rnacentral:rRNA from 1 species